GUUGGCCCAGUAGGACACUUACAAUGGGUUCAGUACAACAAAGCAAAUGUUUGUCUCCUGCAGCAUCCUGGACACAAACGACAGAGUCAAACAUCUACAAAAGAGGCCUGUUAGUAAGAUUGCAGGUUUCUGCUGAAACUAGACCUGGCCAGCAUCUGUUCAUCCAUUCCUGCUUUGUCUCAGCGUCCCCUGAAUCCCAGCUGUAUGUUCACUGUAGUGUGAUCCUGUCAGAUUAGGGAGUCGGCUCUGCAUCUAAAUCCUGCAACUACAAUGCACACAGGUCGAGAUGGGAGGAAGUAAAUGGUGACGCAGAUGUCUGUGCCUGCUGUUGCUCAAAGUGUAGAGGCCCAUCAGUCAAGAACUUUCCUAAUGACGCUAAAGGAGUCAUCAACAUUGGCCCUCUGGUCAUUGUGGAGGACUGGGAGUCAAGUCCUGUACUUCCAGACUCUAAACCACGUGAUGCGUCUGGCUCCUCUUUACCUACCACCAUGAUGGCUGCCACUCCUGGUCCUGGAGAAAACUUUCUUGGUGCUGCUGCUUCUCUGACACAAGCUGAGCUUCAGUCUUCCCCGCAGGGCGUUAUUGUGGUGCGCCAGGCGCCAACAUCCAAACUAACACUCUGGCUACCUGGCUACCCGGAGAAGUGCAAGGUAACCUCUUUUCUUGGUCUGCUUUACCAGGUCAAGAUGGUCAUUCAUUGCAGGAAGUUUCAACCAUAGAGGGAAAUUCUCUGACUCUACCCACAAAUGAAAUCACUCACUCAGUAAGCGACAAAGGUGAUUCUUCACAGUGGGACAUGAAGCUGCUAACCCUGGUUGAUGGAUGACAGAUUCCUCAAGAAAAUGAAAUCAUUGCCAAGAAAUUUCAGAGGAAAAGUAGAUAUGGAAGAUCUGGGAUUUCUGAUAUGUUUACCCGGUCCGAUUUAUCUCUUCCAUCUGAGAUAAAUGUCAACAUUUCUGGAUUUGUUGAGGUAUUAAGUUAACUUAAAUGGCACUAUUAACAUUCAUUCAAUAAAUUAAGUUACUUUUGUUUUCAGGAGAAUGACGAAGAAGACAGAUUGUAACACAAACAUUCUGCAACAUUUACUCUUGGUUGUGAUGCAUAAUUUAGGGGUUUCUGAUAAAUUAUGGAUUUUCACAGGUGCAAGCUUGGAACCUAUUUGUGCAGAAUGAGGGGAAAAAUGGGAUUGUAAAGAUUCCCGUGGCUAAUGAGCAUAGUUCCAAAUGUUGACAAAUUUGGCCUGUUGGGACAGAUCAAUAGUCUAAAAGCAUAGUAAAUGAGACCACACCUAUGCAUUUAUUUUUCAUUGUAAACUCUAAAUGUAGGAAAUUGUGUAACUUCAUUGACGCACUCAGAUCAGCACAGUUUAUAGGUUUUGUGAAAGACCCAUGUACUUCACGUUAAAAUGACUAACACCGCAUACAGAACCCCCUCCUGCUGUGGAAUUUCAUUAAGUCAAAUUUGAGAGUAAUUUCUCAUGGCUUUCAUGAGGGAGGACAACUGCCAAAAAUGCUGGUUGUAUUUAGUUCGUGCACAAGCAGCAGAUUGGCAGAGUGCUGCACGAUUUGCACUGAAACUCUUGUUUCAAAUGGUCAAAGUAUUGAUGCAUGCUGCUUGCUUUCCAGCACCUAAUCAAAGCUCCACGGAAAACCUGUAGGGUGUUAAGAAAAUGCAGCUGAAGUCCAAAACUACCUCCGUCACAUUCUGCUCACUAACCACAAUGCCCUGCAUUGUAAGUCAUGCAAAAGGAAUUGAAUGCAAAGUGUAUGUAAUCUAUUUGCAUCUAGAAUAUUGGAAUGCCACUGUGAAAAAUAAACUCUUCAAAUAUG